rnacentral:lncRNA from 12 species
UUUCCUCCCAGUGGGAAAACCUCCCACCUGCCUGUGUUCGAAGAAGCCAGGAAGGGUGGUUUCAAUGCACACAAAGCUCCACAGGAGCCAUGGAUUCAGGAGAGGGCACUUUGUGCCAGGAAUGCCAGUCCUGCUGCCACUGAAGCUGCAGUCCCUGGGGACAGCUGGUGUCCGGGGAGGUGGCACUGCCCAUCCCUGGGGCUCUGCUCCAGGAGGAAAAAUCGGUUCUCGGAGCCGUUUGUGGCCGCAGCUGCCGGGAACCCGGCGUUCCCCAGCGCAGACCUGGAGCGAGGGUGUGGGAUGCGCCGGGCUGAGCGCGGCAGCGGCGCAGCUUGGCGAACUGACUGUGCUAAUGGCGCUAAUGAGCCAUUUGCAUAUGCACGCUUCUCCAUUUCAGCGCCGGUGACUCACGGGGUGAGUGCCAGCCCAGCCCUGCCGCCAGGCUGGGCAGAGGGUGCCAGCAGUGCCCCUGUCCCCCACCUUGCACAGAGCAAGGGCUGGCGGCGCAGGGAAUCCUCCUGCUGCUCUUUGGAGGCAGCAUUUAUUAUCCAAUAUUUUGCAAUGCUCUUAUAUAAAUCCGACUGAUGUCUUUUCUGUCACUGGCUGGAGUGUGGUUUGGAGAUGGCCACAUUAACGAGGGGACCCUGCCAGUGGCCAGGGUGACAUCCCACCGGCCCCAUCAAUCCCUCUGAGAGUUUAUUCUCUUGCUGCAGUGCUGGUAAUUCAGUCAUUUUCUUCCUGAUUCCUGGUGACCUUUCCCCUGGACUUGCAGAGAGCUGGAUUUGGCCUUGGAAAUUGGCUCGUGCACCAGGAACUGUUUUGUCAUUUCUGUUUCACGUGGAAAUGUGCAUUCUCCUCCCUGGGCAGCUUCUCCCAGGCGGGCAGGCCCCGAGUGUAGGUGCCAGAUGUGUCAGAUCCUCAGUCUGGGGCACACACAGGAUGGAGCACACUCUGAUGGAGCUGCUGGAGACACGUUUUUACUGUUUCAUCUAAAAUAAUAAAACUCCUACCGUG